rnacentral:rRNA from 1 species
ACUCUGUGGAUUCCCGAACCCCUCACAAACAUCCAUAAACACCUGUGCAUUGUCGGUCUAGAUGAUAGUUGGCUCUCCGAGCCUUCUUGUAUUCUGCCGGCGCCAAUUUACAAACUCUGAGUUUAAUGAAUGUGAAGUUAUACUUGCCAUUUUGGCAGAAUUAAACAUAACUUUCGACAACGGAUCUCUUGGUUCUCCCAUCGAUGAAGAACGCAGCGAAACGCGAUAGGUAAUGUGAAUUGCAGAAUUCAGUGAAUCAUCGAAUCUUUGAACGCACCUUGCGCUCCCUGGUAUUCCUAGGAGCAUGCCUGUUUGAGUGUCAUGAAUUCCUCAAAUCCCAAUGUUUUGCAAAAUUCAUUGUCUGGAUUUGGUUUUGGACUACUGUGCUGCUUUACCGCAGCUAGUCUCAAAGACAUUAGCAGGGCUUUUCGACUAGCGAAUAGCUUCCACUUGAUGUGAUAAGUAUUACGUCGGUGGGUUAAAGAGCUACAUAGCAAAAUAGAAGAGUCUGCUUCCAACCCGGCGAGAAGUUUACCCUUCGACCCACUAUUCAUAACUCUGGCCUCAAAUCAGGUAGGAUUACCCGCUGAACUUAAGCAUAUCAAU